rnacentral:rRNA from 1 species
UACGGGGGGGGCAAGCGUUGUUCGGAAUUACUGGGCGUAAAGGGCUCGUAGGCGGCCAACUGAGUCAGACGUGAAAUCCCUCGGCUUAACCGGGGAACUGCAUCUGAUACUGGAUGGCUUGAGUUCGGGAGAGGGAUGCGGAAUUCCAGGUGUAGCGGUGAAAUGCGUAGAUAUCUGGAGGAACACCGGUGGCGAAGGCGGCAUCCUGGACCGAGACUGACGCUGAGGAGCGAAAGCCAGGGGAGCAAACGGG